AGAUGAGAAAGUCAUGUAUAUGUGUGAAGGAACAGCAUCCAUGAGCAGGAAGGAGAGUGAAUCUUGAGUGGCACCUGCUGAGCAGGAUCACUGUUCAAGAAAGUACCACUGUUUUCCCUUCUUCCGACCAGAUGUGAGAACUCCUUGUCUGUGAUCCAGUGUGUUGACAAAAUGUACCAUAUGAAAUACGUGGUUUACACAAAGGGACAGAAUAAGCCAGUGCUGAAUGGCAAGGAUCAUGUGUCUUGCCCUCUUCUGUUUACAUAAGCUGUGCCUUCAAGCAACAAUUGCAGAACUCUUUGGAACUCU
rnacentral:lncRNA from 1 species